rnacentral:rRNA from 1 species
UACGGGGGGAGCAAGCGUUGUUCGGAUUUACUGGGCGUAAAGGGCGCGUAGGCGGCCACCGCAAGUCGACUGUGAAAUCUCCGGGCUUAACCCGGAAAGGUCAGCCGAUACUGCGGGGCUAGAGUGCAGAAGGGGCAACUGGAAUUCUUGGUGUAGCGGUGAAAUGCGUAGAUAUCAAGAGGAACACCUGAGGUGAAGACGGGUUGCUGGGCUGACACUGACGCUGAUAGCGCGAAAGCCAGGGGAGCAAACGGG